rnacentral:tRNA from 1 species
GUGGGCGUAGCUCAGUUGGUAGAGCACUAGCUUGUGGCGCUAGUGGCCGCGGGUUCAAGUCCCGUCGCUCACCCCA